AAACAGAGGCCUUCAGCCAACAGCUGGGAGAAGCUGAGUCCCAUCAGCAAUUCAAAAGUCUGCAGCCCCAGCCAACAGUUUGAUGUAACCUCAUGAGAGACCCUGAGCCAGAACCACCUAGAAAAGCUGGGAUACAUGAUGACUGUCAUCCCUUGAGUCACGUGCCCUGUAGCUGCCACUGUUGGGCUUGACUCUCUGUCCUUGGGCCCACUUUGAAAAUCCCUGGGAAGUCCUUGGAGUCAGAUGAUCAGGCCUCCACGCCUCUGCCAAAAAGUCUGUUCAGAAGUUUCACAUCAUUAGAGAAGAGGAAAGAAGGACAUUUGUACUGGGAGGAGUCGACUGGUCCCAAUCAGGAGAAAGUAGCUACAGAGUCAUGGGUGAGCUAGGUCCCCCAAAAAGGAACUUUAAGGGAAGGGACUGAAUCAAGUCAGAGAUGUCCCCAAAGCAAGACCAAAUAACUGAGCAAGAGAAGCAUUUAUCAGAAACCAAAAUUCAGCUACAAGUGAGCAUCCAGAUGGAGGUAUUAUCAAGAGGAACUGAGACUGAGGGCAAAAAGUGCCAGCCAGAAUCCUGGAUAGGAGAGCAAGAACCAGGACCUUGUUUAAGAGACAACCUGCUUAAGGCAGAGUAAGCACAAAUGGGCACUCAACAUCAAUGAAGUAACAGCAAAGUCACAUAAUAAAAGCAUGGAAUUAAGCCAAGCUGAAGAUUCAGAUGCAAUAAAACAACCACCCAUUAUCA
rnacentral:lncRNA from 1 species